AAUAAAGCUUGCUGCUUGGAACCAGACAGGAAACGGUCAGCGUGGACUCACACAUACCUUACUACGUAGGACACAAAGACUAGUUACUCCUUCACUAACAUAUCGAAGAUUUCUCUGCACAGCCCUCCUAAAACUGUUCUGCGCCUCAACUGUUGACAUA